rnacentral:lncRNA from 1 species
GAGAGAGAGAGAGGUGGAGGAGGAGGAGGAGAGGGGAGAGAGAUGGAAGAGAGAGAGAGAGAGAGGUGGAGGAGGAGAGGGGAGAGCGAUGGAGAAGAGUGGGAGCAAGAGAAAGAAAGAGAGAGAUGCCCAGCUGCGAGACAUGAGAGAGGGCUCAUGGGGUGAGAUGGCUGCUGACUGACUCAGUGGGGUACGAGAUGCCAAUAAGAGAUCCGUGUUCUCAGAGACAAGAGGGGACUUCAUUUGAUGGAGCCUCCAUGUCUGUCUGUCCAUGACCUCACUCAGAGUCCCCGGCACCACUGCAGUGUAUGUUGCCCCGGCAACUACCAAUAGGCCUAUAGUGAUGAAGACCAGAGAGAGAGAGACAUUGAUCCAAUCAAAUAAUUAUGCAAACCACUGGGUAUUUUCAAUAUUGUGUACAGAGACCAUUAUUUUUUAUAAUUCACUCAGUUAGGAAUAUAAAAAAAUAUUGUAUACUUUUUCCACAGAGGUUGAUAUUUCUGAGACCAUGUAGCACCAAGAUGUGUGAACUAUUGUCAAAAAUAGGACAACUUUAGAGUAUGAAGUAUGAAAUAUAACUGAAUAUUUCUUUGUGCUUGCUAUUUUAGCAUGCUUACGUCUUUAAAGGAGUUGAAAGAAAAAAAUGCAUUUUGUUGUUAACACAUUUUUUUCUUGAAGCUAGAAGCAUACUUUGAAACAGUAGCAACAUGUACUGUACUGUACUGUACUGUACUGUACUGUACUGUACUGUAUAGAGCCAAUCUCUGGAUAGGCACUUAAGGGCUGGUUUUUAAAGUGGAAUGGCUUUCAAGGGAAUAAAAUAAUGGAGCAGAUAUUCACCUUGAAUUGAAGAUUAUUUCCCCCCACACUACAUUCUGUAGCCUGAUCCCAGAUCUGUUUUUAUUUUAAACCUAAAGCUCCAUUGUUUUAAAAAACAGUAGCUGGUAUGCAGGCUUUCGUACAGAUACUCACCUUAAUUUGAAAAGGAUAUCCUUCCUUCUUUUGCACCAAAUUUAGUUCAUUCUAAAUUCUGUUCAUUCUAAAUUCUGUUAAUAACUUGAAGAGUGUUUCUUCAUCACACCAUGGGUCUGUUCAGGAGACUGCGACAUAAGAACUUGCCCCUGGUAAGGGAAGUCUGGAAUCCCGAUUCCUCCUUCCAGGAUUUCUUGGGAAAACCUAGACAUUUUGGGAAAGGUAACAAUCCUGGUCUACACUGUUAUGUUGAUCUACGACUGUUCCUUUUGUAGCUAUGAGUUUUGUUAUACUUCUGUUGACAUGCAAAUACUUACAAAAUGGAUAAAAGAUUGUUUCUUUUUUAUGUACUGACUGAACCAUUGAAUAAAAACCUGGA